rnacentral:rRNA from 1 species
CUCUAAGUCAGAAUCCGUGCCAGAAAGCGACGACGCCUCCCGCACGUAUAGAUGGACACGAAUAGGCUUCGGCUUAGCGUCUUAGCAGGCAAGGAACGCCACGGCCCAGGAAGCGGGCUGUGGUACCUUGCGGAUUGUAAUUUCAGCACGAGCGGGGUCGAAUCCCUUGCAGACGACUUGGAUGUGCGAAAGGGUCCUGUAAGCAGUAGAGUAGCCUUGUUGUUACGAUCUGCUGAGGGUAAGCCCUCCUUCGCCUAGAUUU